AACGCACAUUGCGCCCUUGGGUAUUCCUGAGGGCAUGCCUGUUUGAGAACCUUGACGUACCUCACCCCACCCUUCUCUCUCCUACACGGGAGUUGAGGGUGUGGUGGAUCUGGGCUCACUUUUUCCUCUUAGGAAGAAGUUGCCUUAAACGCAGAAUCGUUUUUGUCCCUGGCGAGCUCAGAGCGCUGUGACAGAGAUCUGAGAGACUGUGAUAAGUAACCCUUAACAAGGUUUUCAUUCCAGUCGCCCUUGACGAUCGCUGUUCACUCGCACAACAACUGACUCUGCAACCUUCUCAUCCAUGAGAGAAAGGGGACCGUCAAACCUUUUACACCAGGCCUGCCUUUUUACAAAGACACCUGAACAACUGGUCUCAAAUCAGACAAGAUCACCCGCUGAACUUAA
rnacentral:misc_RNA from 1 species